GCCCGGAUGGUCUAGUGGUAUGAUUCUCGCUUUGGGUGCGAGAGGCCCCGCGUUCAAAUCGCGGUUCGGGCC
rnacentral:tRNA from 3 species